rfam:Ixodes scapularis strain Wikel colony gcontig_1107728548028, whole genome shotgun sequence.
GCCGGGAUGGUCUAAUCGGUUGAGGCAUCGCCCCGGACAGGCGAAGGUUGCGGGCUCAAUCCCCGCUCUUGGCC